AACAGCAUCUCCAGCUGCAUCGGAGGAAAGAAGCGCCAGCGUGCUCCGUGCCACGUCGGAUUUGGCUCAAGACUGGUUGCAGCUGCGGGAGCGCAGCGCUGUCCCCGCGCACGCCCUGGCUACGGGCUGCUUAGCUGGGCGUCCGGCACAAGGAGGGAUGCGCGCUCUCCUCUCUCCCCGAGUGGCGAAUGCCACAGCCUGCGUGAGGGACCCCUUGCCCCAGAAAGGCUUUCGCAGGAUGGCUGUGCCCGGAUGCUCACUGCCUGACACUUAAAUGGAGUUUGGAAACUGCAAACGAGUUGGAGGCCUUGGAAAAGGGGGGAGUGGCUGAACCAGGAUGGUAGCGCGAAGAGGUGGCUCAGGACUUUUCCUUCCUUACGGUCUCUUCCAGCUUAAUGUAGCUGGAAGCCAGGAUCGUUUAACCCUUUCAGUACAAGUCCAAAUUGAGCUUUUUUUUUUUAUUUGUGACCCCACCCCACCCCCUGCACAGAACUGUGUCAGGGUGUUCCUGCCCACAUACUGGGGGGUUUGGGGGUAGGGGGGUUAGGGGGGGUUAGGAAGGUAAGGACAGUUGUGGGAUGAACUUUCCUUACACAGUGGAAAUCAUUGUUUUCUAACUCCGGAGUCCCUUUGACGCUCGGGAAGAUGCCCAGUGGAAAAGUACACCUCGGGACCAUCAGCUUUCCUUGGCCACGCCAGUUACCUGUGCGCCCAGAGAGGCAGCGGAUUCCACCGAAGAUAAAAACCCAGGCUAAGGCAUUCAAAGUUCACCCCAAAGCGCCUGUAUAACGUACCUUGUUCAGCUCCUGCUCAUAGACUCGUCCUCCGCCUGUCUGUGUGGUCCCGGAGGGUCGUGGAAGGAAGUUUCCAAAAUUGAGGUAAUAAGAAAUCAGAUGAAUUUGAGACGACCGGCCAAAAAAAAUAAGAAAUUUAAAAACAACAUUUAAAAAAAAAAUGGGGGGAGCCUUAAAUGUUUGGUUCUCCCCUCUUUGAGAAGAAAAUGCAUUAAUAUGCUCUUUUAUUAUUUCCGUUGCAUUUAAGUCUUCUAAAUUUUUUUGUUAAAUGUGCUUUAAAAAUAAAUUAAAUUUUCCCCUGUUUUGCUAUUUGCUCCAAUCCCCUUCCCUCCGACAAGGCAAAGUCUCCUUUUUCCACAUCAACCUAAAAGUCCGGUGAAGACUCAGCAGAGCCUAGCAAGAGCGGAAUGGAGGUCUUUGGCUGGUUCAAGUCCCCGGUUCAAUGGGCUGCUCAGAGCCAGGACUGGAGAAACGCAGCGCACAGAUGCUGACCAUCGCCUGAUACCUCUCCACAGGCAGUGGCCAAGAAGUGGGAAGCCCUGCUCUGUAAAUAUUGCUGAGACCUGAAAACAUGCAAAAGAUUUUCGAAAGGAGGUUUAAACUAAUGAUGAUAACGAUAAACCUGAGAAAAUGUGUACGGAAGCAGUCGCCUCUUAAGACAUCUGAAAUUACUUUUGCUUCUUGAAAGUCUUUUAGUUAAUGUUUUCAAAAUACUUUUUAAAAAUUUCAAUGACGCCAUGACUGGACAGUUUGUUUUCUCGGUUAUUUUUCUCAACCUAAGGGCAUCCGCGCCCUUUUUCUUUGAUCCUUGCAGUCCCCGCCCCUGCCCCCACCCAAAGCAAAAGGUAAAAA
rnacentral:sRNA from 1 species